rnacentral:misc_RNA from 1 species
GGCUGAAAAAUUGUAAGAGAUGAGCAGAUAAAAUUAGAAGAACACAAACAAAACUGAAAAUUAUGUCAUUGCCAUAGAUGAUGGUGAAGCUUAGUUUUACCCUUCUAUAUGGUUAUUCAGACGGCAAUGGUUAACAUUUUUUUGGUCAUUGUAUUUAUUUUGUUCUUAAUUUAUAUUUUCUUCUGAACCAAACUGGAUAUUGUAAUUUCUCUGAAAGACAUAUUUAUUCAAAACGUCACUUGCUAAUCUUAUUGACUGAAAAUUCUACUACUAUUCAAAGGAUUGAUGCAACCUUGCUGUGCUUUGUAGGCAUGAGGCAGAAUUUAUUCAA